AUUAUCAUAAUCUGUGCGUUUUCUAUGUUGAGGCCGAGGCGAGGUCUCCACCAGCGAGGAGGGGGCUGAGCGAGUCUGAAUCCCCCUUCCAGCGCCUGACCCUGUCCUCUGAACGCCGGGCGCUCGCCAGGUCUCGUGCAACCUUUCUCUGGAGGCAUUUUAUACCUUGGAAAAUAUCCUAAGCAAGAGAAAAGGACAGAAACAACUUGGAAGGAGGUGGGGACACGGAUGAAACUUAGUUCAGGCUGUGCAGGCAACAUCUUCUAAAAUAAAGUGGGUCCGAGUAAUUAAAAAAAAAAAAAAUCCAGGCAAACAUAAAAGGUAAAACUGCAUGAAUACCAGAGUUGUCUGAGGGCUCCAAACCCAAACUGGGACAUCAGAAAUAGCGCUUCCAACCCCAUACCCUCCCCAUCCCUUAGAGUGUCCUGGCUGGCCUGCUCCGGGCCGCGUCCCCUCCUCUGCACAGUCCGCACACGCCAGUGCCUGGAGGAGUGCUGAUGUCACAGAGGAACGUGCCUAGCACAGUGCCCAGUGCUGGUGCCCAGCUCGAAGAACGUUCCAUGUUGUUACUAUUUACCAGGGGCUCCAGGUGUAUCAAGCACUGUGCUAAACAGCCAAGUAACUCUCUCACUGAUAAACAACUAGGUCAUGAGGUCCCCGCGGUCACAGUCGCCGUUCACGAUAAGGAAACUGAGGCAGAGGCCUGAGGUCCCUCUUCCAACUCUCACAGCUUGUGAGGGGCAGAGCCGGGAAUUUUUUGAUACAACGAAAGGGACUCGAUAUUUCAGAGAUCGCUUGUUGGACUCUCAUUAAACUUGAAACGUACUUGAGGGAACUUGACAUCCGUACAAUAUGGAGUCUUCCGUCCAAGGCCAACGUAUGAUGUGCCCUCCCUUUAUUUCUUUGUGUGUUUCUCAAUAUGGAUUUGUCAUUUUCUUCGUAUAGAUUUUUCAGAUUUCCUGUUCAGUCUUGUCACUGGUAUUUUAUGACUGGAAUCUUUUUAAUAAAAAUUCUAUUUUCUA